GUGUGAUGGCAUGCCCAUGGCUGUAGAGGACAUUGGGGGUGCUCUGAUUCUCAGGCCCCGGCUUGCUCACCACCCAACUCAUACCCGCCUCAUCGGCUGUUCACACGUGCACUUCCUGAACUACCACAUUCUACAGUGAUAAUAAUGACUGAGUUCUGUCUUAUUCGGUAAAGCUCUUGGGUACAGUGGUGAUCAUGUUACACACAUAUCAAGUGGUGUGGGAAAAAAGCAUCCAGAAGGCAAUUUCAAGCAUGCAAAAUGGGAUCACUGACAUGGAAAAUCAGUGACAUCUGAUUCCCAUUGUGCCAGCCUUCUGUAAAUAUGGACUCGCCCGUUAUCUCUGAUUGAGGCAAUUCGAACUUUAAGUAAGCCUGUCUUUAUCAACUACUGUUUUAACAGCUGAUUAAUUAGUGCUGCAGAGAUCUAGGGGAGGCCUUUAUCUGAAGAGCAGUUCAACCAUUAGCAAAGGAAACUUCCUUGUGCACCAGCGGCUCAGAUAACAAGUUGGCUACCUUGUUGCCCCAGGGCACCUGUCUUGGGGAUAACCAAGAAUGUGGAUGGUGAUGGCCAUGGUGCAAGACUCAGCUUCAGUGGGGGCUGCUCCCAGGAUGUCGGGCUCACGGACCCCUCUCAUUGAUGCCAGUCUCAGGUGGCUCUAUCCCUGGAAGGUACAGCAGUG
rnacentral:lncRNA from 1 species